CCUACGGGUGGCAGCAGUGGGGAAUAUUGCACAAUGGGCGCAAGCCUGAUGCAGCCAUGCCGCGUGUGUGAAGAAGGCCUUCGGGUUGUAAAGCACUUUCAGCGGGGAGGAAGGCGGUGAGGUUAAUAACCUCAUCGAUUGACGUUACCCGCAGAAGAAGCACCGGCUAACUCCGUGCCAGCAGCCGCGGUAAUACGGAGGGUGCAAGCGUUAAUCGGAAUUACUGGGCGUAAAGCGCACGCAGGCGGUCUGUCAAGUCGGAUGUGAAAUCCCCGGGCUCAACCUGGGAACUGCAUUCGAAACGGGCAGGCUAGAGUCUUGUAGAGGGGGGUAGAAUUCCAGGUGUAGCGGUGAAAUGCGUAGAGAUCUGGAGGAAUACCGGUGGCGAAGGCGGCCCCCUGGACAAAGACUGACGCUCAGGUGCGAAAGCGUGGGGAGCAAACAGGAUUAGAUACCCUAGUAGUC
rnacentral:rRNA from 1 species